UUUGUUUAUUAUUGUAUUAAUUUGUGUGUUUUGUAUUUUUCAUAGUUGCAUUUAGUGUGCCAAAAAAUAUGAAAACUUGACGUUCGUGACGUCACAUACAAUGUGAAAACUCGACGUUCGUGACGUCACAUACCAAACAAUGACGUCAUUCAAAAAAUUUACCUAUUUUGAGGAAAAAUUUUCUUAAGCAAAAAAAAAAAACCAAAACUGACUGUUAUGUAAAAAAAAAGAAAAAAAAAAGUAGGGGUGUGAUAAAGGGUAUGCGAUAAAGGGUAGGGGUGUGAUAAAGGGUAUGCGAUAAAGGGUGCGCAUCAAAGUUGCGCGAUAUGGAUUAAACAGCAGGCUAUUUAUCACAUAUGCAAAACUACUGUAUUUACUACUAAACAUAUGAUAAAUAUGUAUUAUAAUAUAUAAAUGA
rnacentral:lncRNA from 1 species